GUCGAUCUGGCCCAGUGUCCUAUCUUCCAAUAGUGGUCAGUACCAGGUGCUCCAGAGGGAAUGAACAGACCAGGUAAUCAUCAAGAGGUGAUCCAUCCC